rnacentral:rRNA from 1 species
AUGGCGCCGUCGCCGUUGCCGUCACGGAUCACCAAGGCUGCUGCUGGUUGUUUGUCUCUGCGGAUUCUUGGCUUCUCCGGCGUGGAAAGAUUCGGUUCUCUAUUGGUUGUUGCUCCUUGGGGCUUGUCUUUAACCAGGAAGCUGGGAUGCCUGCUCUUUCAUGUCGGCUUCUCAUUUGACAAAGCAUAUGUCCGUGGUUUAGAUCCAUGCUUGUGCAACCUACAGAAUUUGUUGUGCUGGCUCUUGCUUGUGCUUUACUGUUUGUCCUUCAGGAGACCAGCACAAUGUCGUUUCCUUUUUGUAGUUACUCAUUCAUACAUGCAGGUUCUUGGGGCAUCCAAUAGAAUGAAACUUUUAUUUCGAUGCCCAGUGCGUCCUUUGUUUGCUUCCUAUUAA